UACGAAGGGGGCUAGCGUUGCUCGGAAUCACUGGGCGUAAAGCGCACGUAGGCGGAUCUUUAAGUCAGGGGUGAAAUCCCAAGGCUCAACCUUGGAACUGCCUUUGAUACUGGGGAUCUCGAGUCCGGAAGAGGUUGGCGGAACUGCGAGUGUAGAGGUGAAAUUCGUAGAUAUUCGCAAGAACACCAGUGGCGAAGGCGGCCAACUGGUCCGGUACUGACGCUGAGGUGCGAAAGCGUGGGGAGCAAACAGG
rnacentral:rRNA from 1 species